rnacentral:rRNA from 1 species
CAGUAGCCGCGGUAAAACGUAGGUGGCAAGCGUUGUCCGGAAUUAUUGGGCGUAAAGGGCUCGCAGGCGGCUUCUUAAGUCUGAUGUGAAAGCCCCCGGCUCAACCGGGGAGGGUCAUUGGAAACUGGGAAACUUGAGUGCAGAAGAGGAGAGUGGAAUUCCACGUGUGGCGGUGAAAUGCGUAGAGAUGUGGAGGAACACCAGUGGCGAAGGCGACUCUCUGGUCUGUAACUGACGCUGAGGAGCGAAAGCGUGGGGAGCGAACAGGAUUAGAUACCCCAGUAGUCCCUGUCUCUUAUAA